rnacentral:misc_RNA from 1 species
ACGCAACUGGCGCCGGUUUACCGGCAUGCCUGUUUCAGUGUGCUAGGAGAGUAAACUAUCAUUAUAAAAUAUAAUGCGAUUGAGGUACAUUUAUGUUCUUCUUUCGUUAAAUAUGAAGGUGUGAAAGAUGAGUAAUCUCUCAUACUUGCAAACGAAGUAGUCAUGCUUGGUCUUGAUCUCGUUUAACCUGUGCUAAAGGUUUUUGUUUAUCUAUAAAUAACAUCUAAUCAAUUAAAUAUCUUCAACUAUGGCAUCUGAAAGCAGACAAGGAUACCCGCUGAACUUA